CCCGUUAGGGUGAACCUGCGGAAGGGGAUCAUUACCGAGUUUACAACUCCCAAACCCCUGUGAACAUACCUUAUGUUGCCUCGGCGGAUCAGCCCGCGCCCCCGUAAAACGGGACGGCCCGCCGCAGGAACCCCAAACUCUGUUUUUAGUGGAACUUCUGAGUAUAAAAAACAAAUAAAUCAAAACUUUCAACAACGGAUCUCUUGGUUCUGGCAUCGAUGAAGAACGCAGCAAAAUGCGAUAAGUAAUGUGAAUUGCAGAAUUCAGUGAAUCAUCGAAUCUUUGAACGCACAUUGCGCCCGCCAGUAUUCUGGCGGGCAUGCCUGUUCGAGCGUCAUUUCAACCCUCAAGCCCAGCUUGGUGUUGGGAGCUGCGUCCGCGCACUCCCCAAAUACAUUGGCGGUCACGUCGAGCUUCCAUAGCGUAGUAAUUUACACAUCGUUACUGGUAAUCGUCGCGGCCACGCCGUUAAACCCCAACUUCUGAAUGUGACCUCGGAUCAGGAAGAAUC
rnacentral:rRNA from 1 species